rnacentral:rRNA from 1 species
GAUGAACGCUGGCGGCGUGCCUAAUACAUGCAAGUCGAGCGAACAGACGAGGAGCUUGCUCCUCUGACGUUAGCGGCGGACGGGUGAGUAACACGUGGAUAACCUACCUAUAAGACUGGGAUAACUUCGGGAAACCGGAGCUAAUACCGGAUAAUAUAUUGAACCGCAUGGUUCAAUAGUGAAAGACGGUUUUGCUGUCACUUAUAGAUGGAUCCGCGCCGCAUUAGCUAGUUGGUAAGGUAACGGCUUACCAAGGCAACGAUGCGUAGCCGACCUGAGAGGGUGGUCGGCCACACUGGAACUGAGACACGGGCCAGGCUCCUAAGGGAGGGAGCAGUAGGGAAUCUUCCGCAAUGGGCGAAAGCUUGACGGAGCAACGCCGCGUGAGUGAUGAAGGUCUUCGGAUCGUAAAACUCUGUUAUUAGGGAAGAACAAAUGUGUAAGUAACUAUGCACGUCUUGACGGUACCUAAUCAGAAAGCCACGGCUAACUACGUG